rnacentral:lncRNA from 10 species
GGGAGUGCGUUUUCAUCACCCCAAGUUGGCCAAGCUCCGUGCCAGGUUUCAUCUUACUUCAUUCUGAUUAUCGACAUCUCACUGCCGAGGAAACAGACUUGCAGACACCGAUGAGAAAACUUAGGAGCCAGCUGGGGAGGGAGGACUGGCCCAAAGUCACAGUCAACAGGAGGAAGCGGCGCGCGCCUAGCUACGCAAAACCGUAUUGGACUCGGGGAGCCAGGGGUCGGGGUGGGGUGGGGGCGCGGCCGGCUGGGAGGGCUUCCCUGAAGAAACGUACCGUUUAGGCAGGAUGGAAAAACGCAGAGCAGAACGCACCCUGACCUGGCAGAGCAUCUGUAGUGGAGAGAAUGGGAUUUUAGAGGAACGCUGAAAAUAAAACAAGAAAACAAAAGACCAGAGGAAAGUAUUGCUAGGGUGAAGAGGGAGCGCCUUGGCUCCUUUGCCACCAACCCAGCCCCAGUGAGAGUUUACCCCCUAACUUUGAGGGUGCCCUCCCAUCCCCAGAGCCCUUGGUUUUACGUCUAAGUACACUCCCCUUGCAGGGAAGCGCCAGCUCCGUGACCCUGGUUCUCUAAACAUUUUCCUUGCAGACUCCUAAAAGAAUUUUGAAAAUCUGUGUACCCCUUGCACAUUUUUAGGUGCAAACAUUUAAAUUGUUUUCAUAAGUUUAAAUAGUUACAUAGAGUCUACUUUCUGGUGUAUUGCAAAUAUUUGACAUUUUAAAAUAAAACUGUCACAGUACUCUGAAAAAUGUUUCUAAAUGUAAUGCUAUUGUGAUUGGAUACAACCAUCAUCCCUUUUAAAACUACAUGAACAAUUUGAACAAAUUUCAUU